rnacentral:rRNA from 1 species
AGGCAGCAGUGGGGGAAUAUUGCACAAUGGGCGCAAGCCUGAUGCAGCCAUGCCGCGUGUAUGAAGAAGGCCUUCGGGUUGUAAAGUACUUUCAGCAGUGAGGAAGGCGGGUACGUUAAUAGCGUGCUCGUUUGACGUUAGCUGCAGAAGAAGCACCGGCUAACUCCGUGCCAGCAGCCGCGGUAAUACGGAGGGUGCGAGCGUUAAUCGGAAUUACUGGGCGUAAAGCGCAUGCAGGUGGUUUGUUAAGUCAGAUGUGAAAGCCCGGGGCUCAACCUCGGAAUUGCAUUUGAAACUGGCAGACUAGAGUACUGUAGAGGGGGGUAGGAAUUUCAGGUGUAGCGGUGAAAUGCGUAGAGAUCUGAAGGAAUACCGGUGGCGAAGGCGGCCCCCUGGACAGAUACUGACACUCAGAUGCGAAAGCGUGGGGAGCAAACAGGAUUAGAUACCCUGGUAG